CGGACGGGUGAGUAACACGUGGGUAACCUGCCUGUAAGACUGGGAUAACUCCGGGAAACCGGGGCUAAUACCGGAUGGUUGUUUGAACCGCAUGGUUCAAACAUAAAAGGUGGCUUCGGCUACCACUUACAGAUGGACCCGCGGCGCAUUAGCUAGUUGGUGAGGUAACGGCUCACCAAGGCAACGAUGCGUAGCCGACCUGAGAGGGUGAUCGGCCACACUGGGACUGAGACACGGCCCAGACUCCUACGGGAGGCAGCAGUAGGGAAUCUUCCGCAAUGGACGAAAGUCUGACGGAGCAACGCCGCGUGAGUGAUGAAGGUUUUCGGAUCGUAAAGCUCUGUUGUUAGGGAAGAACAAGUACCGUUCGAAUAGGGCGGUACCUUGACGGUACCUAACCAGAAAGCCACGGCUAACUACGUGCCAGCAGCCGCGGUAAUACGUAGGUGGCAAGCGUUGUCCGGAAUUAUUGGGCGUAAAGGGCUCGCAGGCGGUUUCUUAAGUCUGAUGUGAAAGCCCCCGGCUCAACCGGGGAGGGUCAUUGGAAACUGGGGAACUUGAGUGCAG
rnacentral:rRNA from 1 species